UACGUAGGGGGCAAGCGUUGUCCGGAUUUAUUGGGCGUAAAGAGCUCGUAGGCGGUUCCGUAAGUCAGGUGUGAAAAAUCUGGGCUCAACCCAGUGGAGCACCUGAUACUGCGGUGACUCGAGUCCGGUAGGGGAGUGUGGAAUUCCUGGUGUAGCGGUGAAAUGCGCAGAUAUCAGGAGGAACACCGACGGCGAAGGCAGCACUCUGGGCCGUUCCUGACGCUGAGACGCGAAAGCUAGGGGAGCGAACAGG
rnacentral:rRNA from 1 species